rnacentral:rRNA from 1 species
AGUGAACGCUGGCGGUAGGCCUAACACAUGCAAGUCGAACGGCAGCACAGGAGAGCUUGCUCUCUGGGUGGCGAGUGGCGGACGGGUGAGGAAUACAUCGGAAUCUACUCUGUCGUGGGGGAUAACGUAGGGAAACUUACGCUAAUACCGCAUACGACCUACGGGUGAAAGCAGGGGAUCUUCGGACCUUGCGCGAUUGAAUGAGCCGAUGUCGGAUUAGCUAGUUGGCGGGGUAAAGGCCCACCAAGGCGACGAUCCGUAGCUGGUCUGAGAGGAUGAUCAGCCACUCUGGAACUGAGACACGGUCCAGACUCCUACGGGAGGCAGCAGUGGGGAAUAUUGGACAAUGGGCGCAAGCCUGAUCCAGCCAUACCGCGUGGGUGAAGAAGGCCUUCGGGUUGUAAAGCCCUUUUGUUGGGAAAGAAAUCCAGCUGGCUAAUACCCGGUUGGGAUGACGGUACCCAAAGAAUAAGCAACGGCUAACUUCGUGCCAGCAGCCGCGGUAA